rnacentral:rRNA from 1 species
GACCUACGGGGGGCAGCAGUGGGGAAUAUUGCGCAAUGGGCGAAAGCCUGACGCAGCGACGCCGCGUGAGGGAUGAAGGUCUUCGGAUCGUAAACCUCUGUCAGCAGGGAAGAACGGUCACUGUGCUAAUCAGCAGUGAAUUGACGGUACCUGCAAAGGAAGCACCGGCUAACUACGUGCCAGCAGCCGCGGUAAUACGUAGGGGGCAAGCGUUAAUCGGAAUUACUGGGCGUAAGGCGCUCG